rfam:Oryza glumipatula chromosome 5, whole genome shotgun sequence.
AAAAAGACAAAUCCUGGGUUUCCGUGUCCAACUUUGACAGUCCGUCUUAUAUGAAAUUUUUUUAUAAUUUAUAUUUUCAUUGUUGUUAGAUGAUAAAACAUGAUUAAUAUUUUAUGCGUGACUUGUCUUUUUAAUUUUUUUCAUAAUUUUUUCAAAUAAGACGGAUGGUCAAAUAUUUGGUACGGAAACUAGGGUUUGUCUUUUU